AACCUCAGAGUUGGUCGAACCUCCUUUCUGAAACAGGCCCCUGAUCUGCUGGAUCUCAUCAACAAUCAUUCUAAACAACUAUUUUAAAUGGAUGAAUUUCCCACCUGAAAAAAUAAGUGUCCAUCUUUAAAUUGUUUAACGUUGUUGUCCUCAUUUUUGUUUUUGUCUUAACAGUCAUUGAAUAAUAAAUACAUGUUGUUUUUUUGGAUCUUACCUGCCAUCAGAAACAUGUGGUUCUCUAACAAGGUUUGGGAAGUGGGAGGAGUCAGAUGUUCUGUUCACUAUCAAACAGUCUUGUAACAUCUGUGUUUCCUAAACAGAGAAAAGCUGAAUUACCAUGGAAGCAAAAUCUUCAGUUAAAAGUUUUGUACUUUAACUCAUUAAUGUGUACAUCACUAAUACUUAAGACAGGAAGUUACAUUUUUAAUGGAUGCAUUUUGUGCUGCAAUGAAAUGUUUCAUUCCAGAAGGAGGAUUGAGGACAUUCUGGACAGCAACAACAGCAGGAAAGUGUGGAGAUGGCUAUGAAUCCGGAGGGGGGAUCCGUGGAGUGGUGGGCCACUUGGACACAAGUCGGGGGAUGAUGAAGACAGCUGUCUGCACGGGCCAUCACCCCAAACUGCAGUUCCUGUGAAGGAGCACCCAAAAGCAAGCUACGGAGAACCCUUCUGAACUAUACCCCCAGGGGUUCCCGAGAGGCGGGGAGAAUGAAAAACUUUAACGGACAGAUCUAUCGGCAAAGACAUCAGCUAGCGGUCAACCUAUAAAGAGAACGAACUGUACCUGCGGCAAGGUGUGCAAAACCUUGACAGGUCUCAAAAUCCACCAGACCAAGAUGAGCUACCUGAAGGGAGGACGAGUGAAGCACAGGGGCAGUGGCCAGCACUAUAGAUGAAGUUCUCGUCACAGACCCAUGUCAGAUGGAAGAGCAGCCAGGCCCAGAAUCCCCCCCACAUUACCGGGAACCUCCGAGCUGCACCAGUCCUCCUACAGAGAGAAAAACCAGAACAUCAUCAGGUGAAGUGGCCUGCUACCAACAACAAGGAGUGGCUCAAUUAGACGAGGACAUAGAUAAGAUCAUGGAGAUAACAUCAAAGGGACGAUGCAGACCACAAAUUCCAGGCCAUAUUCACCUUCAUAAUAACCAUUGGCCCAGAGCGGUUUGGGGUGAAAGAAAGGCCAAAGAGUAGCAAACCAGCAAGACCCAACAGGCGAGAGCAUGAGAUCGGUCAGCUGAGGCUGGAACCAAAAACCCUGAAACGCAUGUUCAGGACAAAAAAGGAAGAGGAACGAAGCGCCUUGUCUGAGAUCAAGGAGAUUUUGAGAAGAAAGCUCUUCACACUAAGAUGAGCUGAGCAGAAGGAAAGAAAAAGAGAGGGGCAAGAAAAGUGUUAACAGUUCAACACGUGUGUUAGGAUCAUUUCAUCUAUAUUUCAGAAAGAUUGAUAAAAAGUGAUGAAAUACAUGGAAAGUAUCAAAAAGUAUUUUUCAUAAUGAAUCUGCCGUCUGUGUGACUGUGUUUGAUUAAGACAAGUUUUCCCUCAAGGUCAUUUUCAAAAUAAAAGCUGAGUGAGGCAACA